rnacentral:misc_RNA from 2 species
ACACCUCAACUCUCAUGGCUUGCCAUGAUGAGCUUGGAAUUUGGGGGUUUUGCUGGCCUGUGUGGUCAGCUCCUCUUAAACAAAUCAGCUUGCUAGCGUUUGGUGGCAUUGUGGGUGUGAUAACUAUCUACACCCAUGGUCGUUUGCCAGGUAACCUUCAGCAGUGGAGGUUCGCUGGAGCUCAUAAAUGUCUCUCCUCAGUGUGAGACAGCAUUUUGAAC